rnacentral:rRNA from 1 species
CACGUAGGGCGCAAGCGUUGUCCGGAAUUAUUGGGCGUAAAGAGCUCGUAGGCGGUCUGUUGCGUCCGCUGUGAAAACUCGGGGCUUAACCCCGAGCCUGCAGUGGAUACGGGCAGACUAGAGGUAGGUAGGGGAGAAUGGAAUUCCCGGUGUAGCGGUGAAAUGCGCAGAUAUCGGGAGGAACACCGGUGGCGAAGGCGCUCUGCUAGGCCGCAACUGACACUGAGGGACGAAAGCUAGGGGAGCGAAUGGG